GACGAACGCUGGCGGCGUGCUUAACACAUGCAAGUCGAACGGAAAGGCCCCCUUGUGGGGUACUCGAGUGGCGAACGGGUGAGUAACACGUGAGUAACCUACCCUUGACUUUGGGAUAACUUCAGGAAACUGGGGCUAAUACCGGAUAGGAGCUCCUGCUGCAUGGUGGGGGUUGGAAAGUUUCGGCGGUUGGGGAUGGACUCGCGGCUUAUCAGCUUGUUGGUGGGGUAGUGGCUCACCAAGGCUUUGACGGGUAGCCGGCCUGAGAGGGUGACCGGCCACAUUGGGACUGAGAUACGGCCCAGACUCCUACGGGAGGCCGCAGUGGGGAAUAUUGCACAAUGGGCGGAAGCCUGAUGCAGCAACGCCGCGUGCGGGAUGACGGCCUUCGGGUUGUAAACCGCUUUCGCCUGUGACGAAGCGUGAGUGACGGUAAUGGGUAAAGAAGCACCGGCUAACUACGUG
rnacentral:rRNA from 1 species